rnacentral:rRNA from 1 species
UACGAAGGGGGCUAGCGUUGCUCGGAAUCACUGGGCGUAAAGCGCACGUAGGCGGCUUGUUAAGUCAGGGGUGAAAUCCUGGAGCUCAACUCCAGAACUGCCUUUGAUACUGGCGAGCUUGAAUCCGGGAGAGGGAUGCAGAAUUCCAGGUGUAGCGGUGAAAUGCGUAGAUAUCUGGAGGAAUACCGGUGGCGAAGGCGGCAUCCUGGACCGGCAUUGACGCUGAUGAGCGAAAGCUAGGGGAGCAAACGGG